CCAUUGCCCAAGCUGAAGUUCAGUGGCACGAACAUGUUUCACUGCAGCCUCAACCUCCUGGGCUCAAGCUGUCCUGCCUCAGCCUCCCGUGUAGCUGGGACCACAAGCACUCGCCAUCACACCUGGAUAAUUUUUUGAUGUUUCAUGGAGACAGUGCUUCACUUUGUUGCCUAUGCUGGUCUUGAACUCCUGGCCUCAAGCAAUCCUUCUGCUUUGGCCUUCCAGAGUGCUGAAAUUACAGGGGAGGAACAGGAAGAGAAGAGUGUGGCCUCCUAGAAAUCUAGCACGGAGAAAGACUGGUCUUGAACUCCUGACCUCGUGAUACUCAGCCUCCCAAAGUGCUGGGAUUACAGGAGUGAACCACCAAGCCCGGCUUGACCUCUUGGCUUUUACCAAAGGAUGUUUGCUUCUGAGGAAGCUGGAAGCUGCAGCCACAAUGUGCCUUUGCAGGGGAGCCUGAGAGCCACAGAUGUUAAGGAGAACUGCAAACCACUGUUCAAUGAAAUAAAAGAGAAUACAAACAAAUGGAACAACAUUCCACGCUCAUGGGUUGGAAGAAUCAAUAUCGUGAAAAUGGCCAUACUGCCCAAGGUAAUUUAUAGAUUCAAUGCCAUCCCCAUCAAGCUACCAAUGACUUUCUUCACAGAAUUGGAAAAAACUACUUUAAAGUUCAUAUGGAACAAAAAAGAGCCCGCAUCGCCAAGUCAAUCCUAAGCCAAAAGAACAAAGCCAGAGGCAUCAUGCUACCUGACUUCAAACUAUACUACAAGGCUACAAUAACCAAAACAGCAUGGUACUGGUACCAAAACAGAGAUAUAGAUCAAUGGAACAGAACAGAGUCCUCAGAAAUAACACCACAUAUCUACAACCAUCUGAUCUUUGACAAACCUGACAAAAACAAGCAGUGGGGAAAGGAUUCCCUAUUUAAUAAAUGGUGCUGGGAAAACUGGCUAGUCAUAUGUAGAAAGCUGAAACUGGAUCCCUUCCUUACACCUUAGACAAAAAUUAAUUCAAGAUGGAUUAAAGACUUACAUGUUAGAACUAAAACCAUAAAAACCCUAGAAGAAAACCUAGGCAAUACCAUUCAGGACAUAGGCAUGGGCAAGGACUUCAUGUCUAAAACACCAAAAGCAAUGGCAACAAAAGCCAAAAUUGACAAACGGGAUCUAACUAAACUAAAGAGCUUCUGCACAGCAAAAGAAACUACCAUCAGACUGAACAGGCAACCUACAAAAUGGGAGAAAAUUUUCGCAACCUACUCAUCCAACAAAGGGCAAAUAUCCAGAAUCUACAAUGAACUCAAAUAAAUUUACAAGAAAAAAACAAACAACCCCAUCAAAAAGUGGGCGGAGGAUAUGAACAGACACUUCUCAAAAGAAGACAUUUAUGCAGCCAAAAAACACAUGAAAAAAUGCUCAUCAUCACUGGCCAUCAGAGAAAUGCAAAUCAAAACCACAAUGAGAUACCAUCUCACACCAGUUAGAAUGGCGAUCAUUAAAAAGUCAGGAAACAACAGGUGCUAGAGAGGAUGUGGAGAAAUAGGAACACUUUUACACUGUUGUUGGGACUCUAAACUAGUUCAACCAUUGUGGAAGUCAGUGUGGCGAUUCCUCAGGGAUCUAGAACUAGAAAUACCAUUUGACCCAGCCAUCCCAUUACUGGGUAUAUACCCAAAGGACUAUAAAUCAUGCUGCUAUAAAGACACAUGCACACGUAUGUUUAUUGCGGCACCAUUCACAAUAGCAAAGACUUGGAACCAACCCAAAUGCCCAACAACGAUAGACUGGAUUAAGAAAAUGUGGCACUUAUACACCAUGGAAUACUAUGCAGCCAUAAAACAUGAUGAAACUGGAAACCAUCAUUCUCAGCAAACUAUCACAAGGACAAAAAACCAAACACCGCAUGUUCUCACUCAUAGGUGGGAAUUGAACAAUGAGAACACAUGGACACAGGAAGGGGAACAUCACACCCCGGGGACUGUUG
rnacentral:lncRNA from 1 species